rnacentral:snRNA from 1 species
GGAUGUGAGGGUGAUAUGGCCGUGACAUCUGUUGCCCCACUGAUCACCAGGGUUGAUUUGGCUGAUCGGGCUGACUAGGUGGUGUCCCUUUCCUCCCUCACCACUCCAUGUGCAUACCUCCUGAAGCUGCAUGCUUGGUGGAAGAGGACAACCACCCCCAUAGAGGAGGACCAUUUCCUAGGUCAAGGGUAUAGGAGUAGCUGUGCUCUCCUUUCAGACUCUCCAAACAAGCUCUCAAGAUUUCCAUUUUUGUUUCUCUUUCCACUAAGAUAUAUAUGAGAUCAUCAGUUCACAUUAUAUUAUUGAGCUUCAGAAACAUUAUACCUGACCUAGCAACAUAAGAGGGGGCACUAGUUUCCAGUUUUUCUCU